GGCCCUGUGGUGAAAUCAUGCUGGAUUGCAAAUCCAGAGAAGCGGGUAACUCCCGCCGGGGCUU
rnacentral:tRNA from 1 species